UACGUAGGGGGCAAGCGUUGUCCGGAAUUAUUGGGCGUAAAGCGCGCGCAGGCGGUUCUUUAAGUCUCGUGUUUAAACCCGAAGCUCAACUUUGGGACGCACGGGAAACUGGGGGACUUGAGUGCAGGAGAGGAAAGCGGAAUUCCACGUGUAGCGGUGAAAUGCGUAGAGAUGUGGAGGAACACCGGUGGCGAAGGCGGCUUUCUGGUCUGUAACUGACGCUGAGGCGCGAAAGCGUGGGGAGCAAACAGG
rnacentral:rRNA from 1 species